rnacentral:lncRNA from 1 species
UUUUUUUUUUUUUUUUUUUUUUUGGUAAGAGGGACAGCUGCUUCACAGAACUUUGAGUUAUGUCUCAAAGAAAAACUCCUCCCUUUCAUAACUAUUCCCCCAAGGGUGGUAAAUAGAGUAGACAGCCAGGCAAGAUUCAGUGACCUGCUCAGAAAGUGAUACAGUAAAACAAUGAAUGAUGAACAAUAAACACAUGAGAAUUUCCAGUCCAGGAACUGAGGUGUGGCUUCACUGACAAGCAUACACAUUUAAAUAUGUAGACAGUUGGGCCCCCAAGUUUCUGCCGAUUGAGAUGAACUGGACUUGCUCUGGUUGCCGCAUCCAUCCGAAUUCCCCUCCCCCAUAUGCCUUCUCCCUAAUGCUUUCUUGGGGCAGAAUGAACUAGACUGCUGAGCUGUCUCUCUGUCUUUCCUCACUAGUUUUCCCUAGCCCACAAUUGAUCAGUGUGGUAAGAAGAGCCUUGAACCACCACUCCUGUCUAAAUAUACUACUCCUGGUUCCCUCUAGCUACUCAGCUAAAAGGGUAACAUGCAAAUAAAAAUGAAAUGCUUCUCUUAGAAAACAAACAGAUUCUUUGAAAAGAGCUCAGGGAGAAACAGAGGAGCAGUAAAGGGUUGUUGGGAUGUUUGCUGCUUUCUGAGUCUGAAGCACAAGAUAAAGAUUGGUUAUUACAGAAAUAUUGGAUUGAAGAACUCCAGACGAUGGGGUUUUGAGAUAAAUCAAUAUUAAAUGACGUUCUUUAGUAUCACUAAGCUGCACUCACUUGUAUUUUAAGGAAGCAUUUCCAAAGCCAGUCAUAGGUCAGCCACACUAGGUUUUCUAUCUCUUUAGUUCUAUCAAAAAAAAUAUAUCAAGUUCUCUUAUGAGGGCUUUCCUGAAAAUUACGUGGGAAAGAAAAAAAUUUGUAACAAAUCAUUGUGAUGUUGUAUUGCUGACAGAUAAAUGAUGGACAUUAAGAUGGAUUUGGUCCUGUGUCUGAAACUAAGUAGGUAAUGGUGUUUGCAAUCAUGCAAAAAGCUUUUGACUCUGCAACUGCAUGGAACAGCAUAAUAACUAAGUGGGAGGGGAAAAAAAUCUCAAAGUUCAACACCAUAAAACUUAAAUAAAUGUUAAAAGGAGUCAAACUUUUACUUGGCCUCAUUACCUUGGUGAAAGAAAGCAUCAUGCAUCCACCUAAUUCAAAUAGGAGAGUCAUGAGGAAAGGACAUAAUAUUUUAACACGCGCGAGAAUUGUUCAUCGAAGUAGUCGCCAUGACUAAGUGAUGGAGAUUCGUCACCAGUGGGAAUGAUAUUUGUGCAGUUAUUUUAGACUCUGCUCCCCUAGACAUCAUCUCUUAUGCACUCUGUGAUCAGCUAGAGAAUUGUGACCACAGAGUUUGAUUUCAGAGAAUUAAACGUUCCUACUGACAAAGAGGAACUGAUGGACCAUUUCACGACGAAGGCUACGCACCCACUGUAUUAACACUGAUCCUGAAUACUGUGAUAUCAACCAACCAAUCUUUAUAAGAAUACGAAGGGCUGUUUUUCUCAGGCAAUGUAAAUAUCUGCUACCAACAAGCACUAGUGAAAUAAACAUGUGAUUCAUCAUCAUUUCUAAAAUUCUAAUAGAAAUUAUACAAUAUCCAUCCUAAGGAGCAAGAUGUCCCAAGAGCCUAAGAUCCAACCCCCUUGGGUACUAAAACGCCAGUCCAAGCUGAAUGCCUUAUGGAGCAUUGCAAUGUUGGGUCUAUCACCACUAAACACAACUAGCAGAACUGGAUGAGCUGGAACACAGAGAGCUGGGUUCCCAACAGCUGUGCAUGUUUGGAAAUUCUGGGUCUUUAGCCAGCAUUCUUAAAGAAGGAGAGGGAACACUGUUCUCAGAUCCAUUCUGGCACCAUCUCUCAGCAUAGCUGUCUAUAGGGUUAGAUAGGAGCCAUACACUCCCCUGGCCUGUGGCUCAGCCUUGGGUAGUCCAGAGCCCUGGUCAUGUCCACCACCUCUCCGGGUGAGUCUCUCCCUGCAGUCCUGGUUUCUGCCCAUCUAAACAAUGACCCUCCAGAAACAUCUGCUGGGAACCCUGUGUCUGUUGAGUUUAUCUAGGUCAGCAGUCUUGACCCCACAGAGCAUCCACAUGGGUCAGGGAUGAUGACUUUCCAUGUAAGAACAGAAGGAAGACCUGUUGAGUCCCCUCUGCACAGGGGAGAGCCUCCCAUAUGUAAGUCAAAUUCAAACAAUACCAACACACAAAGGGAGCAAGUGUAAGGAAGUCCAAAAAAGUUCUCAUUUCCCAUGGUGGUUACCUCACUGCUUAAUUUUCCUUUCCUUAUCUAAAUCUUCAAACCCUAGAAAUGCUCACUCUUUGGUAUCAUGGUGCCAUGAGCACAAGCUUCGUAAGUUUCAGCCAUCUCCCUAGAAGGUCUGAUUACUUGACCUAUUCGAACCCACCCCACAAUCAAAUGAAAGCUGCUCUGGCAAGACAUUGCAUAUCCUUUCUCUUUCCUCUGACAGCCACAGCAAAUGAGGCAGCAAUGUCAAGGAUCUUUUUAUUUACAAACACCUCUGGACUGAAACACUAGGAGACAUAACUUAGGCUGUCCCCAGGUGCCCACACAGCUUUUAUGUCAUCACAGGUUGACAACCAAGUGCUCUACCCAGAUCCUCUUUCUGAAUUUCCUCCCUCAGCUAACCGCCAAAAGCCGUCUCUCCUGGCACCUUCCUCUCAGUGUUCACUCCAUUCUUGAGCAGCAGUCAAGAACCUGUCAUUGGGGCCAGUCCAAUCUCUUACCACUUGAUUGUCCACCAUCAGUUUUAACUGAGCAUAUAAUAUGUCCAUAGUCUGACUGCCUGAGACCAAAAACAUAGAAUAUUCUGUUCCCACCCCAUAGACAAGAGACCUUGAGAGCCCAUGAGUGAUGGUUGGGCAUUAUGACAUCAGCCCAUGACCACGUAGAGUAUCAGUGAAGUCUUGUGUUGAAGAGAUAGCUGGACUUUUCCAGAGAAAUCUUGUCUUUGUGAAUAAGCUAGCCAGCUUGCCAAAGAUAUCCCAAAUAUCUUAAUUUGGCCCAAUGAUUCUGCACCUAAAAUGAGAGCCACCUAGGGACAACAGGGAACUCUCACAUGUGUGCAGCAUUCUGAAAUGAUUACCCAAAUAUCUCUUGGUGCGAAGUGGUCUUUCCUCCCCCGUCAUCUGCACAGAGUGUGCUCUGGGGGAAAACCUAGCACCUAUGCAGUUCCUGUUUGCCCAGGACAUACACGGUGGCUGCCACGGCAACCACGGUCUAUCAGCAGAGACCACUCUGUGGGAUUCUUUGAUGAGAACUGGCAGAGGCCCCAGGGGGCUUAGGGUCCCCAGGACUGCUCCACCUGUAAAUAGCCUUGGGGUAAGCCAAGCAGAUAUGGGGAAGUACCCAGGCAAACAGGUAUGCAUUCAGCAUGCCGGGUGUAAGAUAUUCCUAUCCCUUCUUCCUAAGAUGGCAUGAACUUAGGUGGCCAAACUUAUCCUUAAAAAUGUAUAUAUAUUCUUUAAGUCAUCAUCCCUAUACACACACUCUUCCACACCCAAAUCACAUUUGC